rnacentral:rRNA from 1 species
CCUACGGGAGGCAGCAGUGAGGAAUAUUGGUCAAUGGACGCAAGUCUGAACCAGCCAUGCCGCGUGCAGGAAGACGGCUCUAUGUGUUGUAAACUGCUUUUGUACGAGGGUAAACGCAGAUACGCGUAUCUGUCUGAGAGUAUCGUACGAAUAAGGCUCGGCUAACUCCGUGCCAGCAGCCGCGGUAAUACGGAGGAUUCGAGCGUUAUCCGGAUUUAUUGGGGUUAAAGGGUGCGUAGGCGGUCGGGUAAGUUAGAGGUCAAAACCCGGGGCUCAACUUCGGACUUGCCUUUGAUCCGGUUCGGGUAGAGAGUAGGUGAGGUAGGCGGAAUGCACGGUGUAGCGGUGAAAGGCUUAGAGAUCAUACAGAACACCGAUGGCGAAGGCAGCUUACCGAG